rnacentral:rRNA from 1 species
UACGUAGGGGGCAAGCGUUGUCCGGAAUUAUUGGGCGUAAAGCGCGCGCAGGCGGCUUUGUAAGUUUGGCGUUUAAUCUCAGAGCUCAACUCUGAUUCGCAUCGAAAACUGCAAGGCUUGAGUACAGAAGAGGAAAGUGGAAUUCCACGUGUAGCGGUGAAAUGCGUAGAGAUGUGGAGGAACACCAGUGGCGAAGGCGACUUUCUGGGCUGUAACUGACGCUGAGGCGCGAAAGCGUGGGGAGCAAACAGG